UUGACCUCGGAUCAGGUAGGACUACCCGCUGAACUUAAGCAUAUCAAUAAGCGGAGGAAAAGAAACCAACAGGAUUGCCCCAGUAACGGCGAGUGAAGCGGCAACAGCUCAGAUUUGGAAUCUGGCCUUUCGGGCCCGAGUUGUAAUCUGGAGAGGAUGUUUCUGGCGCGGUGCCUUCCGAGUUCCCUGGAACGGGACGCCGGAGAGGGUGAGAGCCCCGUACGGUUGGACACCUAGCCUUUGUGAAACUCCUUCGACGAGUCGAGUAGUUUGGGAAUGCUGCUCAAAAUGGGAGGUAAAUUUCUUCUAAAGCUAAAUAUUGGCCAGAGACCGAUAGCGCACAAGUAGAGUGAUCGAAAGAUGAAAAGCACUUUGAAAAGAGGGUUAAAAAGUACGUGAAAUUGUUGAAAGGGAAG
rnacentral:rRNA from 1 species